rnacentral:rRNA from 1 species
GAUUUGUCUGGUURAUUCCGCUAACGGGCGAGGCCUCGCCCUUAACUAGUCGGCUCGUGGUUCUCGAAUCGUAGUCUCCCUUCGGGGAGCAGGGAGAACAUCGGGCGAGUCGCAGCGAUUGUCGCUACUUCUUAGGGGGAUCCCGAGCAAGCUUAAGCUAGGUGAGAGAGAUCAAUAACAGGUCAGUGAUGCCCUUAGAUGUCCGGGGCCGCACGCGCGCUACACUGAAGACGAAAGCGCGAGUGCCUACGGUCUUGGUUUGGUCAGGCCGGGAACCCGCCCCGAGAGGGGAGGUUGGGGCUGUUCCUUCACGGGGGCAGUCUCGCCUACUGCGGGUUAACCGUGCCAAUCGUCUUCGUGCUGGGGAUCGGGGCUUGCAACUCAGCCCCGUGAACGAGGAAUUCCGAGUAGGCGUCCGUCAUCAGCUGGCGCCGAUUAAGUCCCUGCCUUUUGUACACACCGCCCGUCGCUACCUCCGAUAGAAUGGCUAAGCGAGGCCGUUAGACUGGGCCUGCUUUCGAGUGGGCCCGGAAAGGCGUUCGAGCUUAAUCAUUUAGAGGAAGUAAAAGUCGUAACAAGGUUUCCGUAGGUGAAA